UACUAAUGCAACUGCGAAUAGCUGUUUAAUACAGUCGCAAUUGUAUUGACUUUGUAAUAUAUAUAAAUAAAUGUUAUCUUUGGAUAACUAAGGGAAAGUUUGGCUAAUACGUUUAAUGUAUUAAUAAUACACAUUCAUAUAAUAAUAAUACAACAUGAUUGAUAUUAUAUAAAUAUAAAAUACAUUUAUUGUAUUUUAAAUAGAGAUGACUUUAUAAUAUUUAAUUAUUAUAAAGCAUGUCAAACAAGCAUCUAUAGCAUCAAGUCACAAUGUUGGCAUGUGUAUUAUUGAACCUUCAAAGCAUUUACGCAUUCGGAGGAGUAGUUUCUGAUCCCGUCGAAGGUGCCUGAGAGACGGCACUUAGUUCUAAGGAACGCAGCAGGCGCGUAAAUUGCCCAAUGACAAAACAUGUUAAUAUAUAAUAUAAAAAUAUACACUCAAUUUAAUUGAGGCAGUGACAAGCUGUAAAGAUUCAAUAUAAAAAUAAAGAUAACAUUUGGAAUUGUCGCUUUAUAAUAUUUAUAUUAUAUUGCUUGAUAAUAUACCAAUGUUAUAAAAUAUUGAAUUUGAAUGCGGUGAAUGUAAUAAUUUCAAGUAACAUGUAUAAAAUAGUAAUAUUUUAUAUGUUAUCUGAAUUUUCAAGUGGAGGGCAAGUCUGGUGCCAGCAGCCGCGGUAAUACCAGCUCCACUAGCUUAUACAAUCAUUGUUGCGGUUAAGAGGCUCGUAGUUGGAUUGAAUAAAAUAUAUACACAACACUGUGAACAAAUCAGAGUGUAUAAAACAUGUAAUAUUAAUUAUUAGCAAUGAAUGUUUUAUCAUGGGAUAUUGCUAAUAAUAUAUAAUAUAAUAUAAACAUGUUAUGUCGAUGGAGAUAGUUGGAGUUAAGAGUACUGAUAGGCGAGCGGUGAAAUGCAUUGACCCUAUUAAGACUAACAAAAGCGAAAGCACUUAACUAGAUUAUUCUCUUUGUAUUAUUACAAUGAAGAGCGAAGGUUGGGGGAACAAAGAGGAUCAGAUACCCUCGUAGUCCUAUUUUUACAUCAAACUAUGGGAUUUCAAUUGAAUAUAGAUAUAUACCCUCAACUUAAAUAUUAAUAUGAUUGAGUAUAAUUAUAUACUCUCAUAUAUAUAUUAAUGUUGAUAAAUAUUUGAUUAUAUGUACUUUGCGCUCAUAUAAUUAUAUAGGUGAGAUGUAAGCAUUAUUAAUGAUUAAUAUACUUAUAAUUUUUAAUAAUUAUAAUGUAUUAUUAUGAUUUAAAUAUAAAAAUGUAAUGUGAUGCACGUUUUAGGUACGAGCUUACUAUAGAAAUAUUUAAAAUAAUACCCUCCUGGGGUAGUAUGCACGCAAGUGUGAAACUUGAAGGAAUUGACGGAAGGGCACCACAAGAACGCGUGGAGCAUGUGGCUUAAUUUGACUCAACGCGGGAAAUCUUACCAGGUCCAGACAUAUUGAGGAUUGACAGGCGAUAGUAUUAUUAUAUAUUAUAUAUAUAAUAAUGCAUAAAAAUGAUAGUCCUUUCAUGAUUAUAUGAUAGGUGGUGCAUGGCCGUUCUUAGUUCGUGGAGUGAUUUGUCUGCUUAAUUGCGUUUCAGUAAAUAAAAUAUAUAAUAUUACAUUAAUAUUUAGUUCUGCCUUUAUGGAUUUAAAGUGAACAUAUUAUGUUAAUAUUAUUAUAUAAUAAAUGAAUGCAACGAACGUGACCGUAACCUUUUAUUGCUAUAAUAAUAUUUAUAAUAUAUUAAUAUAUAGCAUAAAAUUAAAGGAACCGCUGUCAUUAUUAUAUGUGUUAAAAUAGAGUAAGAAUACGGCAAUAACAGGUCUGUGAUGCCCUCAGAUGUUCUGGGCUGCACACGUGCUACAAUAAUUACAUUAAUAAGUAUAUAUUGUACACAUAAUGAUAUAUUAUAUCAUUAUAAUAAACCUAUUUCGAAAGUAAAUGGGCAAUCAUUUAAAAAUCGUGAUUAAUAUAAUAACUACAUUAAUAAUACAUAAUAUUAUAUAUUAUAUAUAAUAUAUGUAGUAGUAUUAUUUAAUUUAAGGUGGGGAUAGUGUAUUGUUAAUUAUUACACUUGGCCUUAACUAGGAAUGCCUUGUACUCUUCUUUGGUUUAACAUACCAAGAGGAAUACGUCCCUGCCCUUUGUACACACCGCCCGUCGCUCUUACCGAUGAAUUAUAUUAUAAAUCUAAGGGACUUAUAAUAUUAAUUUAAUAGGAAACUUAUAUACAUAAUGUGAUUUAAAGGAAAGAGAAGUCGUAACAAGGCAUCAGUAGGUGAACCU
rnacentral:rRNA from 1 species